UCGCAAAUUUCAUCCUCUCCUUCCCUUUCGAGUUUUGUCAAAGCAGGCGAGGAUUUUUCUGCGUUUUUCAAAUCUUCUGGGGAAUUCAAAUCAGACCUUUCUCCUUCCGUAACACUUGCUUCGAGAAUACAUUCAUUGUUCGCCAUAAUACUGCUAAAACAUCAAGGAAAUUUGGGUUUAUUUUUUAAAGUAUUUUCAAUAAUUCGACAAUAAAC